GGGUGAGUAACACGUAUCCAACCUGCCGUCUACUCUUGGACAGCCUUCUGAAAGGAAGAUUAAUACAAGAUGGCAUCAUGAGUCCGCAUGUUCACAUGAUUAAAGGUAUUCCGGUAGACGAUGGGGAUGCGUUCCAUUAGAUAGUAGGCGGGGUAACGGCCCACCUAGUCUUCGAUGGAUAGGGGUUCUGAGAGGAAGGUCCCCCACAUUGGAACUGAGACACGGUCCAAACUCCUACGGGAGGCAGCAGUGAGGAAUAUUGGUCAAUGGGCGAGAGCCUGAACCAGCCAAGUAGCGUGAAGGAUGACUGCCCUAUGGGUUGUAAACUUCUUUUAUAAAGGAAUAAAGUCGGGUAUGCAUACCCGUUUGCAUGUACUUUAUGAAUAAGGAUCGGCUAACUCCGUGCCAGCAGCCGCGGUAAUACGGAGGAUCCGAGCGUUAUCCGGAUUUAUUGGGUUUAAAGGGAGCGUAGAUGGAUGUUUAAGUCAGUUGUGAAAGUUUGCGGCUCAACCGUAAAAUUGCAGUUGAUACUGGAUAUCUUGAGUGCAGUUGAGGCAGGCGGAAUUCGUGGUGUAGCGGUGAAAUGCUUAGAUAUCACGAAGAACUCCGAUUGCGAAGGCAGCCUGCUAAGCUGCAACUGACAUUGAGGCUCGAAAGUGUGGGUAUCAAACAGGAUUAGAUACCCUGGUAGUCCACACGGUAAACGAUGAAUACUCGCUGUUUGCGAUAUACUGCAAGCGGCCAAG
rnacentral:rRNA from 1 species